UACGUAGGGGGCGAGCGUUGUCCGGAAUGAUUGGUCGUAAAGGGCGCGUAGGCGUCCUUGUAAGUCUGAAGUGAAAGUCCUGCUUUUAAGGUGGGAAUUGCUUUGGAUACUGUAAGGCUCGAGUGCAGGAGAGGUAAGUGGAAUUCCCAGUGUAGCGGUGAAAUGCGUAGAGAUUGGGAGGAACACCGGUGGCGAAGGCGGCUUACUGGACUGUAACUGACGCUGAGGCGCGAAAGUGUGGGGAGCAAAC
rnacentral:rRNA from 1 species